rnacentral:siRNA from 1 species
UAUCAAGGAAUCCUGCCAGUCCGU